CUGCUGGUACUGCGGAAGCUGUUGCUGCGUCUGCGAUGAGUAUGAGUUGUAUGGUUUCAGAUCGAGCUGUGGUUUCAUAUCUGACCAGAAUGAAAAGUUGCUGGAACUCACCGUCAUUGACAUCCAUUUGGCUGCUGUCCAGGACGACGCCAACGUUAUGGCAACUGGUCGCCAAUGAACCACUUUCCAUGAUGGCAUUCAAAGCGUUCUUCGACUUUGACUUGGACUUCUCGCUCUUCGUUCCCUUGGGCUUGCGCUUGCGUUUCUGUAUUGGUAAGAUAAUAUAGUUAUAGUAUACGAAUUCAUAUGCCAUAUUUAAUUCUAGUGAGCUGUAUUCUUAAUCAAGCCCCAUAUAGUUAACAAAAAUACAAGUCCCCAUAUUUAAGAUGUGUUGGAUACAUUGGUUUGAACUCUUAAACAGCAAGAUUGAUACAAAAAUUGAUCAAAUAAAUAUUACUACAUUUAAA